CAAAUGAAACAACAAAAGAUCAAACGAACAAAGGAAACAAAAGGCAGCUUUGGAUAAUUAUCAUACUAACAUUCUCUCUUUCUACUCUUGUUUUGGGGUUUGGCAUUUAUCUCAUCAGAAAAAGGCUUCAGCCGAGAGGGGAGGAUUUGCUAAAAUUUGAUUUGGAAAUGAGCCUAGAAGAGAUGAUGAUACAGACUUGAAGGAUGAAAAGGAGCCUGGAAUACAUCGAAAACACAAAUUGAAACUGCAACUAUUCAGUUUUGCAAGCGUUUCUGCAGCAACAGAUAAUUUUUCAGUCGCAAAUAAGCUUGGCGAAGGAGGUUUCGGACCUAUUUAUAAGGGAGUAUUACUGAAAGGUGGUG